GUAUGCACAAAUCUUAAGGGUAUAACAUAAUGAAUUUCACUAUCCAGAUAAAGAUUUAGAACAUUUAUAGUUUUCUUGUGCUCCUUUCAGGCAAUACCUAAAGGUAUUUACCUUGUCUUUUGAUAACCUCCUCCACAUCUUCUCUGGUUCCUUUUAACAGGGAAUGUGUUGAAUAUGUCAAGAGCUUCAAUAUCCCUCUACUCGUGCUGGGUGGUGGUGGUUAUACUGUCCGAAAUGUUGCCCGCUGCUGGACAUAUGAGACAUCGCUGCUGGUAGAAGAGGCCAUUAGUGAGGAG
rnacentral:sRNA from 1 species